UCAAUAAUUCCAACAUUAGUCCUAAUGUAAAUCAGGGCUUCAUUGUUAACCCUCGUGACUCCAUCUUCUCAUUCUUCUUCAAAGUCAUCACUUCAGCCUCUGAAGCACCAUUUCAAGAAUAGCCACCUCAUCUCCGCUGGUCUAGCCACCGCAAGGACAAUUGAAGAACGAAGCUGCUGCCUCUCCCUUGUUGCUUUCGACGUCAAGCACCAAAUCGUCAUCCUAGCUACUGUGACCCAGGUACAACAACCUAUUUAACAAUGACAUCUAGAAUAGAAGAUUGACAAGUGAUUCUUAUAGCAGUGGAAGUUCUAAAAAAGCAAAGGAAGCUAAUGAUGUUAACAAGAAAGGAAGCCAAUGAAUAACAUUAUGCGUCAUUGAAAGCAAAGGAAGCAAAAGACAUUACGAAUUAAGUUCUAGUGUUGUUUUUUAAAUUCUAGUAAGAGUAUUGGAUUGUUUAUUUGUAUUAGACAUAUGAACAUAUUGUAAAAGCAAUUAUAUAAAUAAAAUUAGAUUGGCUAGUUUGCUGAA